UACAGAGGUGGCAAGCGUUGUUCGGAAUUACUGGGCGUAAAGGGCGCGUAGGCGGCCAUCUAAGUCAGACGUGAAAUCCCCCGGCUUAACCUGGGAACUGCGUCUGAUACUGGAAGGCUUGAGUAUGGGAGAGGGAUGCGGAAUUCCAGGUGUAGCGGUGAAAUGCGUAGAUAUCUGGAGGAACACCGGUGGCGAAGGCGGCAUCCUGGACCGGCAUUGACGCUGAGGCGCGAAAGCCAGGGGAGCAAACGGG
rnacentral:rRNA from 1 species